AGCAAAAUGAGGAGAUUUAUAUUGCUGAAUUUGAUGUGGAACAACCUCAUACCAUAUUGGUCUUCAAAGUUCUCUGAUUGCU